UACAGAGGUCUCAAGCGUUGUUCGGAUUCAUUGGGCGUAAAGGGUGUGUAGGCGGGAUGGCAAGUCGGUCGUGAAAUCCUUCGGCUCAACCGAAGAACGUCGGCCGAUACUGCCGUUCUUGAGGGAUGCAGAGGAGAUUGGAAUUCCCGGUGUAGCGGUGAAAUGUGUAGAGAUCGGGAGGAACACCGGUGGCGAAGGCGGGUCUCUGGGCAUCUCCUGACGCUGAGGCGCGAAAGCGUGGGGAGCAAACGGG
rnacentral:rRNA from 1 species